UUCAGGGAUGUGUGAAACAGCGUAAAGCCACCUGCGAAUUCCUUUCCCACAAUUCCCCCUUUUUUAUUUUCAACCAACCAAACGCUUUCUAUAGAUUUUUCUAUCAAUCACUGCAGACAUUGCAAUAAGCAAGGUACAAUAAGCAACAGGGUGAAAAAUCUCA